AGACAAUUUCUAUGGAGGAGAUUAAGGAAACAACAGCCAACAUGUGAUGCUCGGACAUCUUAUACAUGCUAUGAACAUUACGUUUUUGUUGUACAUGUAUGUUUGAGUUGUAGAUGAAGAGCAACAAUCAAAGUUCUGAUGUGGCAUGUUGCUGAAACCCCAUCCAUUACAUUGUUGUGAUUCUGAUCUCGUCAAAUGAGCUUGGGUGGGUGAAUACCAGAGUGCAAUUAUGCUAACUGUUGUGUGAUGCAUCUAGAUUGUACGAGUCAGUAAUAGGGGAUUUUGGGUAGCUUCAGCUAAUGCAAAUCCUGAUUUUGUAUAAAACGGGAAUCAAUUUCCAAUAGCUGCUUUGUGAAGUUCAAUCCCAGGCGCCUGACGUGUUAAUAAUGAAAUGGAGACAUCUCACCUUCGCAAUGUAAGCCGUUUUAUAUGCAACAGCGUCUGUCAAUGUGUCAUUGGCUCUUAUAUGCGCUGACACAUUGGCGCUAACAUGGGCUACAAUUUUACCGGUUUGCACUCGGCAAAUGUAUCCCAAAUGCGAGGCUAGGGAGUAGGGAGAGAAGUUUUGUGUAAUUCAUUUUUAAGUUUGUUUGACUUUCUGAUGGGAAAAAAGAGACCAAUUAUUAGGUAAAAAGUUGACACCAAGUAAGAGGGAAAAUAAGGUACAAUCAUGAUAAAAUUUAGGAUCCAUUUAAAAGGAAAAAUCGGGAUCAACGAAAUGAGCUUCACAAAAUGGAAACCUUUCUUGUACAUUUUACUUGAGAGAAUGAGAGUGAUGAAAGUUGUUUCAUCUAGUCAAGAUACUUCCGGAGUACUGUCACCCUGAGGAUCAAAUAUUUGCAUUUGAAAGUUAAAAAUACUUUUCACAGUUGUAAAUAUGACUUUUUCAUUUUGUUGAGGUUUGGAUAUACUAUCAUUUAUAAGGAAGUUAGAG
rnacentral:lncRNA from 1 species